CAGCCGCCCGGGAAAACGAAGGGGGCUAGCGUUGUUCGGAAUCACUGGGCGUAAAGCGAGUGUAGGUGGUUAUCCAAGUUGGAUGUGAAAGCCUUGAGCUCAACUCAAGAAAUGCAUUCAGGACUGGAUGACUAGAGGACCGGAGAGGAUAGUGGAAUUCCCAGUGUAGUGGUGAAAUACGUAGAGAUUGGGAAGAACACCAGUGGCGAAGGCGGCUAUCUGGACGGUUUCUGACACUAAGACUCGAAAGCGUGGGGAGCAAACAGGAUUAGAUACCCCGGUAGUCCCUGUCUCUUAUACA
rnacentral:rRNA from 1 species